UGGUGGAGUGAUUUGUCUGCUUAAUUGCGAUAACGAACGAGACCUUAACCUGCUAAAUAGUUAGGCUUACCUCCCGGUAGGUCGCCAACUUCUUAGAGGGACUAUCAGGGUUAACCUGAUGGAAGUUUGAGGCAAUAACA
rnacentral:rRNA from 1 species